AGUGAACGCUGGCGGUAGGCCUAACACAUGCAAGUCGAACGGCAGCACAGUAAGAGCUUGCUCUUACGGGUGGCGAGUGGCGGACGGGUGAGGAAUACAUCGGAAUCUACUUUUUCGUGGGGGAUAACGUAGGGAAACUUACGCUAAUACCGCAUACGACCUACGGGUGAAAGCAGGGGAUCUUCGGACCUUGCGCGAUUGAAUGAGCCGAUGUCGGAUUAGCUAGUUGGCGGGGUAAAGGCCCACCAAGGCGACGAUCCGUAGCUGGUCUGAGAGGAUGAUCAGCCACACUGGAACUGGAACACGGUCCAGACUCCUACGGGAGGCAGCAGUGGGGAAUAUUGGACAAUGGGCGCGAACCUGAUCCAGCCAUACCGCGUGGGUGAAGAAAGCCUUCGGGUUGUAAAGCCCUUUUGUUGGGAAAGAAAAGCAGCAGGUUAAUACCCCGCUGUUCUGACGGUACCCAAAGAAUAAGCACCGGCUAACUUCGUG
rnacentral:rRNA from 1 species